rnacentral:rRNA from 1 species
GUGAGGAAUAUUGCGCAAUGGAGGCAACUCUGACGCAGCCAUGCCGCGUGCAGGAAGAAGGCGCUACGCGUUGUAAACUGCUUUUAACCGGGAAGAAACCCCAGGACGUGUCCUGGGUUGACGGUACCGGAGGAAUAAGCACCGGCUAACUUCGUGCCAGCAGCCGCGGUAAUACGAAGGGUGCAAGCGUUAUCCGGAUUCAUUGGGUUUAAAGGGUGCGUAGGCGGAGCGUUAAGUCAGUGGUGAAAUCCUGCAGCUUAACUGUAGUCUUGCCAUUGAUACUGGCGCUCUUGAGUGCGCUUGAAGUGGGCGGAAUGUGCCGUGUAGCGGUGAAAUGCUUAGAUAUGGCACAGAACACCAAUUGCGAAGGCAGCUCACUAAGGCGAUACUGACGCUGAGGCACGAAAGCGUGGGGAUCGAACAGGAUUAGAAACCCGGGUAGUCC